GUAUCGAAGCCGCGAACGCGCCCGCCUCCAGCCGACGAACGAACCCGAACCCGGAACCGCCCGCGCGCUCGAACCUGGAACCGCCCGCGCGCCCGAACCCGGAACCGAACCCGCGCCCGUGCCACACGUGCCUGACUCUCCCGCGUGCAAGCGCGCCGCGCCGUGUGUUCCGCGUAGCCGAGCCGCGUCCCCUCCCUGUAGCAAGCCGAGCCGCACGCGAAGUCCCCAUACCGAGCCGAGCCGCGUCUGCACCAAGCCGAGCCGGUCCUGCCUUCUUCCAGCCGAGCCGCCAAGCCUGUUUUGGCUCCUUCCACCUAAAUUUUUGCAAAUUGGACCAAAUAGCUGCUGCAGCUUAGGACUUCCUCAGUAGGAACUCAUCUAGCAACAUCUCGAGGUAGAGGACGAGGCAAGGGCAAGGGCAAGCUGGCGAGCGACGUGAAGUGACCGUGGCGAGCCAUAGGGGUUUUCCUGCUUCCGCACAUGUUUUACUUUACAGUUAAAUUCAUGUUUCGGCUUUCUGCAUGUUUACUUUGGUUAUUUUUGUAGAUAGGGCCCGCUUAGGGAUUUUAAACUUAACUCGUAUUUCUACAUGUUACUUUAACUAUCUUCCAUAAAUACAUUUGCUAGAUUUCUUUGCAUUUAUUUA